ACCCUAAGCCACUAAUCCGAGACUCUCAGUGCCGUGGACCCACCCCCAACCCCAACCGGCUUCGCUCUCUGCUCUCUCGAGCUCGGCGUCGACAUUUGGCAGCCCCUUACCCUCACCUCGCCACUCUCUCGAGUUCGGCGUCAGCAACCCCUCACCCUUACCUUGCCAUCUCUCGUCGCUCCCCUCAUCCGUCAGUCGUCAGUUCGUGACUCUCAGUCUCUGGGUCUCUCACCUCGUCUCUCUCUCGGUCUUUCAUCGUGACCCUGCGUAGUGCGUUCGCUUCGUCGGAACCAGUGAAGCAAUAUCUGCUCCCUCGGGUGCUGGUGGUGGUCGUCUAAUCAACCAGGUGAGCUCCAGUUUUCGAUCCUGUUCUUUCUCUAGUUCAAUGUUGAUUUCGGUGAAUCUGGUGGUUGUUGAAUGUGGGUGUUGCUGUUUUAUUUAGUUUUUAGAGUUGUUGUUGCUGUUCUUUCUCUGGUUCAAUGUUAAUUUCGGUGAACCUGAUGAAAUUUUAGAGUUGUUGCUGUUCUUUCUGUUUGUUGAAUAUUGAUUUUUUAGAGUUGUUGUUGGUGAAUCUGAGCAAAUUUUAGUUAGAAUUGUUGUUGAAUCUGAUAGUUGCUGCUGUUGUAUUUGGUUUUUUAGAGUUGAUGUUGAACCUGAGAAAAUUUUAGUGAACUUUGGUUAAAUAGUUAAAUUUUUUGUUAAUUAUCAUUAGUGAACUUUGGUGGUGUUGCUGUUGUAUUUGGUUUUAGAGUUGUUGAAUUGGAGAGAAUUUGAGUUAAAAACUUAGAAUUGUUAUUGAGUCUGGUUAAUGUUGCUUUUGUAUUUGAUUUUAGAGUUGUUGAACUUGAGAAAAUUUGAGUUAGAAUUGUUAUUGAAAACAUAAGAACUUAUUUAGCCUAGUAUAAAAACUUAGAAUUAACUUUUUUUUGGAACAAAACCACAGAAUUAUUUUUAUAGAUAUUAAGAACUUAUUUAGCCUAGUAUAAAUGAAGUUUGAAUGAUAUCUCCUAUGUACACAGCACAAGAAGUUGAGCUUAUAAUAACUAUCAUUUAUUUUUUCUAUCUUAUAAGAUCAGAAACUAAUUGUAAUACGCUUAAAUUACUACUGUAACUUAAUACUAAAACAUAAAUUGUUGUGUGGAACCGUAAAAUGAGCAUAAGCAUCUAGUAAUAAAUGAUUAAAUAAAAGUUACAUCUUUAUGAAACUUCUUUAACUUUAAAAACAUAUCCCUUAAUAGUAAUAAUUGUGGUCUUGUACUGUUUUGUCGGUUUCCACAAGAAAAUGUUUCAGUAGUCACGAAUCUUUGGUAAGAGUCUUAUUAAGACACAUGGUUUUGACUAAUUCACAAGAUCUCCGGCACAACUUGCACAAGAAAAUGUCUCCCUAGCUAACAUCAUGCUCUUAUUUUUUGCAUCACUUUCUUUGACUUAUUAUUAUUAUUAUUAUUAUUAUUAUUAUUAUGAUUAUUAACAACAAUGAAAAUCAUGUUCUAAGGCGAUGCAUACAAUGUUCAAUUUAAUUAGUGCAGAGAAUCAAAUAAAAUUUGGUAACUAAAAUGAUAGGUUUUAGUUCUCAUCAAAAGCAUUCAAGCACCAAACAUAAUUUCACUGCUAACUAAAACAUCACAGCAUUGAAAAUUUGAAAUUGAACAAAGAAUUAACAUAUUAUGCAGUAACAGCACUAGCUGUGCAGAAAAUCUUGCUUACUUUUUCUCUUUAAUAUGAUCAAUUACAUCAAUAUAUCAGUCACCAAAACUUCACUAUACAUAAAUAAUAAAAUAUAAAAUAAGAAAGUUUGAAUAUGAAACAAACACCAGAAGACACAACUCAAAAGAAAGAAAAACAAAAAAGAUUGGAUCCAAAUUCCAAAAACAAUUGGUUUCCAAGAACAAUAUAGUUAAAUGUUACCAAAAUACUAUUAUGAUGAAAACUAGUAGCAGCAAAUUGGGCAUCUAAUUAGUCCAUUUUCAUUCCAAUCAGGGCAACGCUUGAAUCCACAAUCACCAACCUCAUCACUAUCUUGUUCUUGUUCUUCAUCACCAUCAUCAUCAUAUUCAUAGCCUUCAUCAUAGUAGAUUUUGCAGCUUCCUCAUAACAGCUUCCAUUUGUUGAGACACUUCACAAAUGGCAAGGAGUUGGUAAAGUAUGCAGUCACCCGAUUUGCCACUUCAUUUCUCUCUUUAGAAAGGCUUUAUAAGGAGAAAGGAAAUAUGAGAAGCAUGUUCACCUCGGAUAAAUGGGUAAAGAAUAAGUUGUAAAAGGAGGUAAAUGGGAGGGAGGCAACAAAGAUUGUUAUCAUGCCCUCCUUUUGGAAUCAUGUCAAGUACACCCUUAAGAUCAUGGGCCCUCUUGUUCGGGUGCUUAGACUUGUUGAUUGGGAGAAGAAGCCACCAACGGAAUAUAUUUAUGAAGCAAUGGAGAAGACAAAGGAAUGCAUCAUAAAAACAUUUCUUAAUGAUGAAAGCAAGUACAAUGAUGUUUUUAAAAUCAUUGACAAUAGAAGAAAUUGCCAACUUCAUCGUCUGUUGCAUGCAGCUGGUCAUUUUCUAAAUUCCGAGUUGUUUUAUGACAAUCCUUGCAUUGAGAUGGAUUUAGAAGUUACAAAGGGAUGGUUUGAGUGCAUCAUUAGAUUGGUGUCAAGUCAAGCUAUGCAAUAGAAGAUAUUGGAGGAGCAAGCACUAUACAAGACCGGCUAUGGACUUUUUAGAUCAGAUUUUGCAAAAUGUCAAAGAAAAAAGAUUUCAUCCGCAUUUUGGUGGCAGACAUAUGGGCAUGAAGCUCCAAACAUGCGAGACCUUGCUAUCAAGAGCUUGAGCUUGACUUGUAGUGCUUCAGGAUGUGAGCGCAAUUAGAGUAUAUUUGAGCAUAUUCAUACUAAAAAAAGAAAUAGACUUGAUCAUGAAAGGAUGGAGAGUUUGGUCUUCAUAAAGUAUAACCAACAGCUCAUAGAAAGGUACAACCUUAAAGAUGAAGUUGACCAUAUUGCACUUAAUGACAUUGAUGAGUGUAAUGAGUGGUUAGUUGGAGAAAUUAGGAUUGACACCUUUUGAGAUGCUAAUAAUUAAUGUGGAUGAUGAUGCUGAUUUAGUUCAUCAAGAUGACAACACUUUGAGUUGGAACCUUGUGUUUGAAGCAAUGGGAGGACAUGAGCCUACGACAAAUACUAGGAGAAGACAACAAAAUAGGAAAAGAAAGGAACCUGCAACUACAAGGGGUGGUGCAAGUAGUGGACCAAGUCAGUCUAAGGCUUCAAAAAAAGGAAAAGGAAAGACAGUAAUUGUGGAGGAGGAAGAAGAACCAGAAUUUGAAGAUGAAGAGGAUUCUGAAAAAGAAGAAGAACAUGAAGAGGAGAUUCAAUUUAAUGAUACUGAAUCAAAGGAUGAUGAGGGGGCAAAGGGACACGAUAAUAAUCAUGUUAUUGGAUGAAUUUGAUGAGAGCUAGAAUGUAGAUGGUUCAUAGUUUUUAUGUUUUGUGUCUUUUAUUUUACGGCUUGCUUAUGACUUUUGAGUUAUGAUUUGCACUUGAUGUUAUGUUUAUUUGCUAUAUUUGCUACUAUAUUUGCUACAUUAAUUGGAUGUUUAUGAUUAGAAAGUUGCUUAUAUAGAUAGAUUUUAUAAUUUA